rnacentral:rRNA from 1 species
UACGGAGGGUGCAAGCGUUAUCCGGAAUCACUGGGUUUAAAGGGUGCGUAGGCGGCUUGAUAAGUCAGGGGUGAAAGCCCGCAGCUUAACUGCGGAACUGCCUUUGAUACUGUCGAGCUUGAAAGAGGUUGAGGUCAGCGGAAUGUGACAUGUAGCGGUGAAAUGCAUAGAUAUGUCAUAGAACACCGAUUGCGAAGGCAGCUCACUGGCCCGAUACUGACGCUGAGGUGCGAAAGCGUGGGGAGCAAACAGG